UAAAAGUCGUAACAAGGUUUCCGUAGGUGAACCUGCGGA
rnacentral:rRNA from 4 species